UACGUAGGGGGCAAGCGUUGUCCGGAGUUACUGGGGCGAUAACGCACGCAGGCGGUCUCUUAAGUUUGGAGUGACAGUUGGUGGCUUAACUGCCAAAGUGCUUCGAAAACUGAGAGACUUGAGGGCUUCAGAGGGACACGGAAUUCCGGGUGGAGUGGUGGAAUGCGUAGAGAUCCGGAGGAACGCCAAAGGCGAAGGCAGUGUCCUGGGGAGUACCUGACGCUCAGGUGCGAAGAGCCAGGGGAGCGAACGGG
rnacentral:rRNA from 1 species